rnacentral:rRNA from 1 species
AUGAGUAGCGAAAAGAAUGGUGAGAAUCCAUUCCACCGAAAGCAUAAGGAUUCCUGGGCAACGAUCGUCGUCCCAGGGUAAGUCGGGACCUAAUCCGAGGCAUGGAGCGUAGGAGAUGGACAACUGGCAGAUAUUCCAGUACCGGUAAUGAUUGUUUGAGCGAUGGAGUGACACAGGAGGGCAGGCAGGCAGGAGAUUGGUUGUUCCUGUACAAGCGUGUAGGGUGGAACGUAGGCAAAUCCGCGUUCUGUGAGCCUGAGGCGUGAUGUGGAGGUUCCGGAAACGGAACUGAAGCUGCUGACCCCACACUGUCGAGAAAAGCUUCUAGUUAGAGAAUUACCGCCCGUACCGUAAACCGACACAGGUAUGCGGGGAGAGAAUCCUAAGGUGCGCGGGAGAACCCUCGUUAAGGAACUCGGCAAAAUGUACCCGUAACUUCGGGAUAAGGGUAGCCGCUGUUGUGAAGUCUGAACAGAUGGAGCAUGAGGCGGUCGCAGAGAAGAGGCCCAAGCGACUGUUUACCACAAACACAGGUGCCUGCUAAAGAGAAAUCUGACGUAUAGGUGCUGACACCUGCCCAGUGCCGGAAGGUUAAGGAAGGAUGUCCGGAGCAAUCCAAAGCAUUCGACCGAAGCCCCGGUGAACGGCGGCCGUAACUAUAACGGUCCUAAGGUAGCGAAAUUCCUUGUCGGGUAAGUUCCGACCCGCACGAAAGGUGUAACGACUUGGGCACUGUCUCAACGAGGGACCCGGUGAAAUUGAAGUACCUGUGAAGAUGCAGGUUACCCGCGACUGGACAGAAAGACCCCAUGGAGCUUUACUGUAACCUGACAUUGGGUUCUGAUACAUCACGUACAGGAUAGGUGGGAGGCAUGGAAGCGAGGACGCUAGUCUUCGUGGAGCCGCCGUUGGGAUACCACCCUUGAUGUAUCGGAAUUCUAACCGUAGGAGUAACGAAACUCGGGACAGUGUCAGGCGGGCAGUUUGACUGGGGCGGUCGCCUCCCAAAGAGUAACGGAGGCGCCCAAAGGUUCCCUCAGCGCGGCCGGAAAUCGCGCGAAGAGUGUAAAGGCAGAAGGGAGCUUGACUGAGAGCCAAACACGGCGAUCAGGUACGAAAGUAGGGCUUAGUGAUCCGGUGGCAUCCAAGUGGAAGGGCCAUCGCUCAACGGAUAAAAGCUACCCUGGGGAUAACAGGCUAAUCUCUCCCAAGAGUCCAUAUCGACGGGGAGGUUUGGCACCUCGAUGUCGGCUCAUCACAUCCUGGGGCUGAAGUCGGUCCCAAGGGUUGGGCUGUUCGCCCAUUAAAGUGGUACGUGAGCUGGGUUCAGAACGUCGUGAGACAGUUCGGUCCCUAUCCAUCGCGGGCGCAAGAGAUUUGAAGGGGGCUGCUCCUAGUACGAGAGGACCGGAGUGGACGAACCAAUGGUGUACCAAUUAUCUCGCCAGAGGUAUAGUUGGGUAGCUACGUUCGGAAAGGAUAAACGCUGAAAGCAUCUAAGCGUGAAACCAGCCUUAAGAUGAGAUCUCUCAUAGAGUAAUCUAGUAAGACACCUUGGAGAAGACGAGGUUGAUAGGUCGGGAGUGUAAGUACAGUAAUGUAUUCAGCGGACCGAUACUAAUAUGUCGAGGGCUUGACUUA